rnacentral:rRNA from 1 species
AAUGAACGUUGGCGGCGUGGAUUAGGCAUGCGAGUCGUGCGAGAACCGUAGCAAUACGGGGACAGCGGCGAAAGGGAGAGGAACACGUGGAUACCUACCCCCAGGUUCAGGAUAGCUACGGGAAACUAUAGGUAAUACUGAAUAAUAUCUCCGGAUCAAAGGUGUGAUUCCGCCGGAGGAGGGUCCGCGUCCUAUUAGCUAGUUGGUGAGGUAAUGGCUCACCAAGGCGAAGAUGGGUACGGGAUGUGAGAGCAUGAUCCCGCUCAUUGGGACUGAGACACUGCCCAGACACCUACGGGUGGCUGCAGUCGAGAAUCUUCGGCAAAUGGGGGAAACCCUGACCGAGCGACGCCGCGUGUGAGAUGAAGGCCUUGGUGGUAAUUACGACUAGUCGUAGUAGGAGGAAGUGUA